CCUACGGGGGGCAGCAGUGGGGAAUAUUGGACAAUGGGGGGAACCCUGAUCCAGCCAUGCCGCGUGUGUGAAGAAGGCCCUCGGGUUGUAAAGCACUUUCAGUGAGGAAGAACGCCUGGUGGUUAAUACCCAUCAGGAAAGACAUCACUCACAGAAGAAGCACCGGCUAACUCCGUGCCAGCAGCCGCGGUAAUACGGAGGGUGCGAGCGUUAAUCGGAAUUACUGGGCGUAAAGCGCGCGUAGGUGGCUUGAUAAGCCGGUUGUGAAAGCCCCGGGCUCAACCUGGGAACGGCAUCCGGAACUGUCAAGCUAGAGUGCAGGAGAGGAAGGUAGAAUUCCCGGUGUAGCGGUGAAAUGCGUAGAGAUCGGGAGGAAUACCAGUGGCGAAGGCGGCCUUCUGGACUGACACUGGCACUGAGGUGCGAAAGCGUGGGUAGCAAACAGGAUUAGAUACCCUUGUAGUC
rnacentral:rRNA from 1 species